rnacentral:lncRNA from 1 species
GGUUAAUAAAGCAUACAAAACAGCUGCUAGAAGAAAAUGAAGAGAAGCUCUGCAUUAAGGUCCUACAGACCCUGAGGGAAAUGAUGACCAAAGAUAGAGGCUAUGGAGAAAAGGGUGAGGCGCUCAGGCAAAUUCUGGUCAACCGUUACUAUGGAAACAUCAGACCUUCGGGAAGAAGAGAGAGCCUUACCAGCUUUGGCAAUGGCCCACUGUCACCAGGAGGACCGAGCAAGCCCGGGG